CCUACGGGUGGCUGCAGUCGAGGAUCUUCGGCAAUGGGCGCAAGCCUGACCGAGCGACGCCGCGUGUGGGAUGAAGGCCCUUGGGUUGUAAACCACUGUCAGGGGGGACGAAAUGCGCGCGGGUACUCCCGUGCGUUUGACAGAGCCCCAGAGGAAGCACGGGCUAAGUUCGUGCCAGCAGCCGCGGUAAUACGAACUGUGCAAACGUUAUUCGGAAUCACUGGGCUUAAAGGGUGCGUAGGCGGCUUAUUAAGCAGGGUGUGAAAGCCCCCGGCUCAACCGGGGAAUAGCGCUCUGAACUGAUGAGCUGGAGCGAGGCAGGGGUGCGCGGAACUUCCAGUGGAGCGGUGAAAUGUGUUGAUAUUGGAAGGAACACCGGAGGCGAAAGCGGCGCACUGGGUCUUGUCUGACGCUGAGGCACGAAAGCCAGGGGAGCAAACGGGAUUAGAUACCCUAGUAGUC
rnacentral:rRNA from 1 species